GGAUUAGGCAUGCAAGUCGAGCGAGGACAUGUCCUUCGGGACAUGAACCGAGCGGCGAAAGGGUGAGUAAUGCAUAGAUAACCUACCCUUAAGUCUCGGAUAACAGCGUCUCUUUAUUGAGGCUUUAUCGAAAGGGCUGCUAAUACGAGAUAAUCUCGCGGGAUCACCUGUUCCUGCGAGCAAAGUCUGGGAUCCUUCGGGACCAGGCGCUUUUGGAGGGGUCUGUGUCCUAUUAGCUUGUUGGCGAGGUAACGGCUCACCAAGGCUGUGAUGGGUAGCUGGUCUGAGAGGAUGAUCAGCCACACUGGGACUGAGACACUGCCCAGACUCCUACGGGAGGCUGCAGUCGAGAAUCAUUCACAAUGCGCGAAAGCGUGAUGAUGCGACGCCGCGUGCGGGAUGAAGGCUUUCGGGUUGUAAACCGCUGUCAGGGUAACGGAAAAACGUAAGGGCAAAUAGUCCUUGCGUUUGACCUAGCCCAAAGGAAGCCACGGCUAACCCCGUGCCAGCAGCCGCGGUAAUACGGAGGUGGCUAGCGUUGUUCGGAAUCACUGGGCAUAAAGAGCACGUAGGCGGCUUGGUCAGUCGGGUGUGAAAUCCCCCAGCUCAACUGAGGAAUUGCGCCCGAUACUGCCAAGCUAGAGAACAGCAGGGGAGAGUGGAACUCUAGGUGGAGCGGGUGAAAUGCGUAGAUAUCUAGAGGAACGCCGGUGGCGAGAAGCGACUCUCUGGGCUGUUUCUGACGCUGAGUGUGCGAAAGCCAGGCUAGCGAA
rnacentral:rRNA from 1 species